GAUGAACGCUGGCGGCGUGCUUAACACAUGCAAGUCGAACGGAAAGGCCCAAGCUUGCUUGGGUACUCGAGUGGCGAACGGGUGAGUAACACGUGGGUGAUCUGCCCUGCACUUCGGGAUAAGCCUGGGAAACUGGGUCUAAUACCGGAUAGGACCACAUUUUGGAUGGUGUGGUGGAAAGUUUUUCGGUGUGGGAUGAGCUCGCGGCCUAUCAGCUUGUUGGUGGGGUAAUGGCCUACCAAGGCGUCGACGGGUAGCCGGCCUGAGAGGGUGUACGGCCACAUUGGGACUGAGAUACGGCCCAGACUCCUACGGGAGGCAGCAGUGGGGAAUAUUGCACAAUGGGCGCAAGCCCGAUGCAGCGACGCCGCGUGGGGGAUGACGGCCUUCGGGUUGUAAACUCCUUUCGCUAGGGACGAAGCGUUAUGUGACGGUACCUGGAGAAGAAGCACCGGCUAACUACGUG
rnacentral:rRNA from 1 species